AUUGAACGCUGGCGGCAGGCUUAACACAUGCAAGUCGAGCGAGCGGCGGACGGGUGAGUAAUGUCUGGGAAACUGCCUGAUGGAGGGGGAUAAAUACUGGAAACGGUAGCUAAUACCGCAUACCAUCAGAUGUGCUCAUAUGGGAUUAGCUAGUUGGUGGGGUAAUGGCUCACCUUGGCGACGAUCCCUAGCUGGUAUGAGAGGAUGACCAGCAACACUGGUACUGAGACCCGGUCCAGACUCCUAAGGGGGGCGGAAGUAGGGAGUGUUGCAAUAGGGGCGCAAUCCAGCUGCAGCCAUGCGGCUUGUCUGAAGAAGGCCUUCGGGUUGUAAAGCACUUUCAGCGAGGAGGCGUUACUCGCAGAAGAAGCACCGGCUAACUCCGUGCCAGCAGCCGCGGUAAUUC
rnacentral:rRNA from 1 species